rnacentral:rRNA from 1 species
AAUGAACGCUGGCGGCAGGCCUAACACAUGCAAGUCGAACGCUGUAGCAAUACAGAGUGGCAGACGGGUGAGUAACGCGUGGGAACCUUCCCAGUGGUGCGGAAUAGCUCAGGGAAACUUGAGGUAAUACCGCAUAAGCCCCUAGGGGGAAAGAUUUAUCGCCAUUGGAUGGGCCCGCGUCGGAUUAGCUAGUUGGUGAGGCAAUGGCUCACCAAGGCAACGANCCGUAGCUGGUUUGAGAGAAUGACCAGCCACACUGGGACUGAGACACGGCCCAGACUCCUACGGGAGGCAGCAGUGGGGAAUCUUGGACAAUGGGCGCAAGCCUGAUCCAGCCAUGCCGNGUGAGUGACGAAGGCCUUAGGUUGUAAAGCUCUUUUGCGGGGACGAUAAUGACGGUACCCGGAGAAUAAGUCCC